rnacentral:rRNA from 1 species
AUUGAACGCUGGCGGCAUGCCUUACACAUGCAAGUCGAACGGCAGCACGGGAGCAAUCCUGGUGGCGAGUGGCGAACGGGUGAGUAAUAUAUCGGAACGUGCCCAGUCGUGGGGAUAACGUAGCGAAAGCUACGCUAAUACCGCAUACGAUCUAUGGAUGAAAGCGGGGGAUCGCAAGACCUCGCGCGAUUGGAGCGGCCGAUAUCAGAUUAGGUAGUUGGUGAGGUAAAGGCUCACCAAGCCGACGAUCUGUAGCUGGUCUGAGAGGACGACCAGCCACACUGGGACUGAGACACGGCCCAGACUCCUACGGGGGGCAGCAGUGGGGAAUUUUGGACAAUGGGCGCAAGCCUGAUCCAGCAAUGCCGCGUGCAGGAUGAAGGCCUU